rnacentral:rRNA from 1 species
CGCACGGGUGAGUAACGCGUAUGCAACCUACCUACUACAGGGGAAUAGCCCGAAGAAAUUCGGAUUAAUGCCGCAUAAUACAGGGGCACCGCAUGGUGAUAUUUGUUAAAGAUUAAUUGGUAGUAGAUGGGCAUGCGUUCCAUUAGCCAGUUGGUGAGGUAACGGCUCACCAAAGCAACGAUGGAUAGGGGAACUGAGAGGUUUAUCCCCCACACUGGUACUGAGACACGGACCAG